rnacentral:rRNA from 8 species
AAACUUUCAACAACGGAUCUCUUGGCUCUAGCAUCGAUGAAGAACGCAGCGAAAUGCGAUACGUAAUGUGAAUUGCAGAAUUCAGUGAAUCAUCGAAUCUUUGAACGCACAUUGCGCCUGGCAGUAUUCUGCCAGGCAUGCCUGUCCGAGCGUCAUUU